ensembl:lncRNA
GCACCUUCUUCUGGUUUAGCCUAGCUUGGGAGUUUCUCACCAGCUUCCAAGAUCCACAGGCUGGGCAAGCAUGGCAGGGCUCAGGUAAAGGGCAGAUAGUAGGGGCUCUGGGCCCUGGGUGGAGAGCAGAGGACAGUUAUCAUCCAAAAGACCCUCUAGAGUCACCACUGCCGUGCAGAUAGGGUUAGCCCAGGACAGAAGAGUUGUGGUUCUUGGCAUCGAGGUCUUUCCUCUUUUUUUUGUCUAAAGAUUUUCUUGGCCUUGGCCUUUCACCAGUUUUUGGUGCAGAGAGAGAUAAAAAAAAAAAAACAAAACAAAACAAAAAAAAAAAAACAAAAACAAAAACAAAAAAAAAACAAACCAGGCUUCUGCCAUUGAGAAUGUGGGAUGGAGACCUCAUGCCUUGUCUGGUCCUCUCAGUGCUCCCAGGAGAAGUAUCCUUCGAAAAGAAGUCAACUGGCUUUUUGGGGAACUGACCUGGGUAGUUCUGCUAGCAUGGAUGCUCCUCAUCUCCAUACUCUACAGAACAACUUCCAGCUUUAAGGAGUUUUAAAGUUUUAAACUUAAAGUUUUAAAUCUAUCCACUCAUUUACUCAUACAUUUAACAAAUAUUGAGCACCCACUAUGUGCCCGAUCCAGUGUUGGACACCAGAGACAGACUUAUCUCCCUCCCCCGAACAAACAAAUAUUAAAAGAAAAGCCCUGCUCGUGUGGAUUUCACAUUCCUGGGUUUCUUUUCACUCGUGUGAGGAUGACCUUGGGAGUCCUUCAUUCUCCAUGUCGUCAGGGUCAAAUUUUGUUCUGUCUGUGUUACAAAACCUCAACGCUUUCCCCCAAUACUUUACUUGUUCUUAGGCAAGAAUGAUUCUCUCCAGUAUUUGCUAACAGACCAGGAUGCCUGGAGUUUCUUUAGCUUUUAUCAUUAGCCUUUGGAGGUAGGGGUAGCACCUUCUACCUAGUUAUACCUGCAGGAUACAGCAGGUUGCCUGGGAGUCAACACCAUCUUUCAUCCAGGAUGCUGUGCAGUGUUGAGGAGAUAGGGUGCCAGCCAGACAGGUAGAGGCAGCCUGGAUUAUUGCCUAGAAAGGCUAAGCACUACAGAAGUUCAUUUAGUUAGACAAUUAGAAGCUGAGAGACCAGUUAACAACUUGGAGGGCUUGGAUGUCUGCUGUCACCAGAGUACGGACAUUGAGAAAGGCUUUGUUUAGCCACAAUGUCUUCCGGACAUUCAUUUGCAUCUUAUUUCCGGUACGUGGAUCCAGAAGUGCUAUGUGCUAUGAAUGUAUUUGCAUUAUUGCAACUUAACACUCCUCCAAAAUAUCUAUGUGGCUGAGCCCCCACAUGUCAUCAGUGAAGCUGCUGGGGUCAGUGCCAGGAGGGACACCGGUGGUCCCCUGAACCAGUCCCUCCUGCCAGUCUUGGCCCUUGUUUUCUGAGACUGGUGAACCACCUUAUCACUUUGAUCCAGGUUACAGAUCUUCAAAUGCCAAAGCACACCCUCAGAUUCUGGCUCUUUAAGACAAAGGGUCUCUUACUGUGCGCCCUGGCCCUAGGCUUCUGCUUGACUUCCUGAUAUGUGUGGUUAGAAUUGGGAAACACAGCCCCACAUCUCCCCAUAUAACUCAACCACAUAAAACCUUGGGUUCUAUGCUUGACUCUUUCUCUGUUUCAACUCUGUGUGGGUGUGUUGGCCCAUGUGACAAAAUGUCAUCUGUGCUCCUCAUAUGAAUACUACCAGUGCCUUUAUCUCUCCUCUGCCUUCCCAGGAGUUUCUCCUUUGUUAAGAAGAACAAUACAGGCCUCUGUCUUAAUCUUGCACACCUGAACCAUCACUGACGUUCAGCAAAGUCAGGGCACCUAAAUCCACCGAAUCUACCCUCCUGAGAAAAUAAUCAGAGUUAUGAUUAGAACAUGGGGGCCAGAAAGGGAGAAGGGAGCUGCCAGGGUGACCUUUUUAUAUGCCUCGAUCUUGAAUAUCUUUUUAAUGUUUCAUAGUUAUGCCUAGUCACCUACUAAGCCUGGCUAUGGGACCAAGAGUAGUGGCUCCCUCACAGAUAACCUCGGUGAGGAUGAGGCUAAGACCAUCAUCCUAUUGUCACUGAAGACAAUUUCCAGGAAAAGGGGGAAGCCCCCUCAGGUCUGAGGAAGUUCCUGUGUCUCAGAGUUGGGGUUAGUUUGGUGGGGGAAGGAACAGUCUCUUGCUUUUAUUAGGCGAGAUGUCUUCUGAUAGAGGAGGGUGGCUCAUGUGUCUCACGGGGCCUUGCCUCUCCUGGUCACACCUUUCCUGGCCACCACAAGUAAAGCAGUUAGUAAAAAUCACUGGAAAGAGGGAAUCCCAAGGGAAAUUUGACUGGGAAUUGGGGAGAUACCACACAUCAGGUACCACACGUGUGACAUGUAAACAUGUACUCUACAUGUGUGUCUCAGUGGAAUCUUUGAGGACAUCCUUAGGGAUUCUCGAGAGUGUCUUUGUGGCUGACUGAGGGUCAGUCUUCCCCAGUCUUCCCCAGGUUCUUCCUAGCAUUUUAUCCACAGAGAUUUCUACCAUUCCACUAACCCUCAGUCAUGUCAGUUAACACCAAACAGCAUAGUAUUGGUUGGUCUAUCUGGGAGAUUCUCAGAAGGUUCUCAAAGGGACUUUGAGCUUUACAGGACUUCAAGGGUGGAAGCAAGCAGUGCUGUUUCUUCUCGAAUUGUUCCCGUUUUGCUCUCUCACAGAAUACAACCCGAUAGUAUUACAUCACCAUUUUCUAAGUAGCAUGGUGGACAAGAACCCACUUAGUCACUGAACUCAAUUUGCUCUAACUCCCACUUUUUUGAAAAGCCCAAUACAGAGUGCUAUGUUCUUAGAAGGUCACUCGAGGCUCACACUGGGGUCUGCACAGAGUACAGCAUCAAGCACUGCUCAAGGCUGAGCACCUGGAAACCUUGUCCCAAGGUCAGCAAGUUUCUGAUAACAGCUUCAGUCAGAAUUAAACAGGGGUCCUGGCAAGCUCAGACACAACUGAGCUGCUCAGGACGAAAGGACAGUGUUCUAUAGUACACUACUUGCUAUUUCUCUAUUGAGUAUGUUCUGUGCUCCAGGACAAGGACAGCGUUAAUCUUUUAUGUUGAAUCCAGUUCUCUUUUUAGUAGUUGGUCUUUCUGGGAGAUUCUCAGGUUACCCUCGAAGGGCAAACUUCAGUUAGAUCCUUCCAUAGAGUGCAUAUUUUUCACAUCAGUCUUUAACUUCAAAUGGUGGGCUAGCUUAGCAGAGGACGAUACCUCCAAACAUUUAUGACUGUGUAACCCUUCAUUUAAAUAUCCACCUAGUUCUCAAGUUUCAUAGGUUAGAACUGUAAACAGUUGGGUAGUUGUGCAGUCUAAUGUUUUAAGGAAGAACCUGGAAUUUGAGGUCAUGUUAGGAUAGGCCAAGCUGAGGUAGCAAGUAGAUACAGCAAAUUAUCAUUCAGACACAAUAGACGCUUAUUUCUUUCUCAAAGCACAGCCCAGGGAGCUGUUCUAAUUUGUCUAUGUGCAAGCAGGGGAAAAAGCUGGGCCAUGUGGGCAGUCAGAGACUGGGCUGAUCCAGCUCUGCCAUAUCCAACAACUGGCUUUCAAGGUUGCUGAGGUUUCUCUCAUUCCAUCAUCCAUCACCAUCGUUCCAGUGCACAGGGCACACUUCAGGGAAGCACAUGGUUUACGGCCAUCUAGAGAUGGCAUGCAUUCCUUCUAUUCUCAUUAAGAAGGUAGUUGCCUUCUCCCGUGCAAUGAAAAUGGUUAGUAGUCAGUCAAACACACAUCUAGAAAUAGAGGAUAGACUUAGGUCAGAAGAGGGAGACUUGCAGAUCUUGGACUUGGAUGGGAGCUCAGGUAUCUCCUCAGGCCCAACACAGUAUAGGUGCUGAGCUUCCUUCCUAUCUCAUGAACUUCCUGCCCCCCUUGGUAUCUCAGCUGCCAUUUUGAUUUGGCAAACGAAUAAACAUCCGGCCCUCCUCUUCUAAACAUAUUCUAUACCUUGUGACAAAAGGUGAGAGACUCAGGUAGAAGGAAGUGCAGAGGCAGGGGCGGACUGUUUAGCCUCUGGCUGUAGGAGGCAGAAAUGCAGCUUCAUCAUCCUUUGUUGUUCUCAGAGUCUUUACAAGGCUGUGCCCAUCACCAACAAUGUCACAGGAUCUCCUGAAUUCGCUGCCACCACUCAAAUUAUAAUGGCUGCUUCUAAUGUUCAUAUUUCUAGAAGGUGUGUGUGUGUGUGUGUGUGUGUGUGUGUGUGUGUGUGUGGAGAGAGAGAGAGAGAGAGAGAGAGAGAGAGAGAGAGAGAGAGAGAGAGAGAGAUAUUUUGGAGAAAAUCAACAUUAAUCCAUAGAUAUUUUAGAAGGCCACCAUAAAUCAUAAUUGCAUAUUUUAUGAACUGUCUUUUCUCCUAGUUUGAACCCACUUCCCCACAUUUACUUCUACCUUGUUCAAGUCCUUCUGUCCUGAAUUUCUGGUAUCUUAGGUCUUGCAUACCCCUACCAUGGCAAUUGACCUACCCAGUAACCUAUCCUUCUGUCUGUGUGGAUCCUUCUAUCGUCCCUCCCUAAGCUGCCCCUUGAGGGCACUUACACAUUGUUUGACUUCUUGUAUAUAUUUUCCCUAAUACUCAUCAUGUCUCCCCAGUAGGACACUGGGGGCAUUUAUAGCUGAUGGAAAAUGUCCGGUAUUUUUUUUUAAAUCAUGUUUGGUUUUCUUUAUUUUCCCUAGCCUGACCUGAGUACAUCUGUAGAUGACGGUGGCCAUAUGAGAGAGCUCUGGAGACUGUGGUGGUCCUGAGCCUGAGAUGUGGGUGUGUUUAUCACUUAAUUUGUAAAGACUGAGAAAAUCCAUCUCUUGGAUGUGUCCCAGGCAGCCCAGAAAGCCCAGAAAGGGGCGGGGGUAUCAGGCAGGAGGAGAGAAGAAAAGGAUUCCCAACCCCUCCAUAAUGUAUUAGCUACAGUGGACCAGUAGUGUCUGGUCCAAUCAGAGUCUGUCAAUUCCAGGGUGCUAGGAGCUAUGGAACACAGCUCAGUUGAUAGAACAACAGUGUUCUCAAGACAACAAUUUGAGGCCACUUCCCCUAACUUGAGCAGUGCCGUGCCUUCAGAAAUGUCCAGAAAAGACUUCUUGUCUUGGGAAAGGUAGAAGUGGGUGGGCCAGGUACGGGAGUCCUUUAGUUCUUGAGUGUCAAAGGGCCUCAGUUUUACCCUCUGCAAGCUGGGAUUGGAAGGACUCUCAGCUGCACUCAAUUUCAGAAAAGCCCAAUGAGCCCUCUGUUUGAAAAGUAGUGACCUGUGGGAUCCCAGGACUCCUUGAGUGAUUGUCUACAGGGGUAGAAUGUGUUUGUCAGCAAGAAGAGAAAGGAGUUGUGCAUGCAAGGGCUUAAAGAGUAAAGUUCUUACUGGGCAAUUUGGCUUUUGACCUAGAUGAGACCCAGGGAUGAGAAAAGUGUCUGCUUUUCUCACAACCAUGUAACCUGGAGACUCUCCCUCUUAAUGUCUUUCCCAUGGGCAUCACUGCUCAUGCUUCUUACCCAGAGACCUUAACAUUUGGCCUCUCUACCUAAAAAGUGACAGAAAGUAUGCAGGGGUAAGUGGUAGGGAGAAAAAGGGUGAGAUUCUGGAGAAUCUGUAGGGUGUGUGCUGCUGAGGCCUCUCAGUCAGGUCCUGUCUUACAGUGUACAUGUAGAUUGUCCAAACUCUGGCUCGUUUCUGCCAUGGGGCCUCUGCCAGAGUUCUGGCUCUUAGGGUUCACCACAGAGAACAAGCCGGAGGCAAGUCCUUCAUGAGCAUGUGCCACCUCAGGUGAUUUCUAACCCCUAAGAAGAGGCUUUCAGUGUGCUGGCUGCCCAAGAGCUACCACUCAUGUCCUUCCAUAGGUGAGCUACAACCAGGAGUUGUCAAAUAAUUUAAUGUGUGCUAGACAACUCUGAGAUGAUAGUGCACAGAGUAGGCCAAGCAGUGCCUCAUGGAACUUAUCUCCAGGCAUGCCAAGGGUAUUGGAUGCACUCACACGAGAGGCUUCCAUUUGUUCAUUCAAAUGAUUCUCAAUUUCAAAAGGAUUCUACCAGAGCAUCUAGCAGAGAUCUAGCAGUACUUCUGGAGCUAGGUUGGCUGAGGUGGGAGUAAGGUUCCCAAAGAAAGGCUUGUACCCUUUUUGUCACUGCCACCACUGGAUGUAGACAGCUUCCGCAAGCAACCUUGAAGUCUGAGCGUCUUUGACCCAGAUUUUGGUUACAGAGCUGACCUACGUGCUCUGAGAUAUUUUUUUUUUCAGUAGGUCCUUUCCAAAGGUACCUGAAAAGACCACCCUUUGGGCAGUUAUCUAUAAAAGUGUGAUAACUUGCACAGGGCUUCCUUCACCCCAAUAUCUCUGAGGAUCCUGGGAUGUACAGAUGGGAGGAAGCCAUGCUUGUUGUAGAUAUGCAGAAGGAAGAGGAAUGAGAACCUGGGUCAUUCAUCGUGUCUCCAACUCUUUGCCUUCCCAGGUUCUCUCCCUUCCAACAGCUCAAGAUGUGAGGGCAUUUGGUUUUGGACAGCCUUUGGAUGGGAUAAAGUGAAGGUGGGGGCACACCCAGUGUCUGGGAUGCUUUUCUCAGCAGGUCAGCUCCUAAUUGGCCAGAAGACUUCAUGAAGAGAACUCCCCACGGGGGCUGAUGCUUCUUGAAGGAAAGGAGGCGUCCUUUGGAACAGCAGCUGGAGUCACGUGGCUUCUUGUGUCUGGUGUCCAAGAAUGGCAGAGAACAUGAACAAUAAGAGAAAAUAAACCCAUUACUCUAUUGAAGGAGAGAGCCACCAUCCUAUAUAUCUUGAUGGAACAUCUGCAUUUUUUUAUCUGUGUAUUGUAUUUGGUAGUUUACUAAAAUCGAUACCAUGCUGUUGAUAUGUUUUUGCCUUUCACUAUCUACAUAAGAUUGUAAUACAUGUGUUUUCCUAGACCACAUAAAUGUUCUACUGAAUGAUCGAGUAGCAUAAGUUUAUUAUUUAUAGCUUCCCAAAUGGCUUGCUCUUUUAUAUCCCCACUGUCACCCUUUGAGCACGGCUGUAUCUCACUGUCACAGGAGAUGGAUGUAGGGGACAUGCUAGUGAGAGACCCAGAUGAGAGAGCAGAGGAGUGGAUG